AUUGAACGCUGGCGGAAUGCUUUACACAUGCAAGUCGAACGGCAGCACGGGGCAACCUGGUGGCGAGUGGCGAACGGGUGAGUAAUGUAUCGGAACGUACCAUUCAGUGGGGGAUAACGUAGCGAAAGUUACGCUAAUACCGCAUACGAUCUACGGAUGAAAGCGGGGGAUCGCAAGACCUCGCGCGAAUGGAGCGGCCGAUGUCAGAUUAGGUAGUUGGUGGGGUAAAGGCUCACCAAGCCGACGAUCUGUAGCUGGUCUGAGAGGACGACCAGCCACACUGGGACUGAGACACGGCCCAGACUCCUACGGGAGGCAGCAGUGGGGAAUUUUGGACAAUGGGCGCAAGCCUGAUCCAGCCAUUCCGCGUGCAGGAUGAAGGCCUUCGGGUUGUAAACUGCUUUGUACGGAACGAAAGGACUCUGGUUAAUACCUGGAGUUUAUGACGGUACCGUAAGAAUAAGCACCGGCUAACUACGUGCCAGCAGCCGCGGUAAAGCUAACG
rnacentral:rRNA from 1 species